ACGUAGGAGGCGAGCGUUAUCCGGAUUCACUGGGCGUAAAGCGCGUGCAGGCGGUUCGGUAAGUUGGGCGUGAAAUCUCCCGGCUCAACUGGGAGAGGUCGUUCAAUACUACCGGACUUGAGAGCGAUAGAGGAAAAUGGAAUUCCCGGUGUAGUGGUGAAAUGCGUUGAUAUCAGGAGGAACACCAGCGGCGAAGGCGGCUUUCUGGACCGACACUGACGCUGAGGCUCGAAAGCGUCGGGUAGCAAACGG
rnacentral:rRNA from 1 species